rnacentral:RNase_P_RNA from 1 species
GCAGUUUGCCGGUCUGUCGCUCAUAUUUUGAAUAUGAGAGGAACGUCCGGGCAACAUAGAGCACCAUACUUCUUAACGAGAAGCUGUUCGCGAGGGUAGAGUAACGUAACAGAGAAUAACCGCCGGAUUCGUUCGGUAAGGGUGAAAAGGCGAGGUAAGAGCUCACCAGAUUUUAUAGUAAUAUAGAAUGCUGUACGUCUUAUGGGUUGUAAGGUCAUGUAUACCAGCGUAUGUAGGAUUGCUCGUCCGAUGCUGGGGGGUAGACCGCUAGAGCUUAUUGGUGACAAUAAGACGAGAUAAAUGGCAGACGCUUUUUUUGAAAGUACAGAACCCGGCUUAUAGGCAAACUGCUUUU